AUUGAACGCUGGCGGCAUGCCUUACACAUGCAAGUCGAACGGUAACAGGUUAAGCUGACGAGUGGCGAACGGGUGAGUAAUGUAUCGGAACGUGCCCAGUCGUGGGGGAUAACUACUCGAAAGGGUGGCUAAUACCGCAUACGACCUGAGGGUGAAAGCGGGGGACCGUAAGGCCUCGCGCGAUUGGAGCGGCCGAUAUCAGAUUAGCUAGUUGGUGGGGUAAAAGCCCACCAAGGCGACGAUCUGUAGCUGGUCUGAGAGGACGACCAGCCACACUGGGACUGAGACACGGCCCAGACUCCUACGGGAGGCAGCAGUGGGGAAUUUUGGACAAUGGACGCAAGUCUGAUCCAGCCGUGCCGCGUGCGGGAAGAAGGCCUUCGGGUUGUAAACCGCUUUUGUCAGGGAAGAAACGAGUUUCUCUAAUACAGAGACUUAAUGACGGUACCUGAAGAAUAAGCACCGGCUAACUACGUGCCAGCAGCCGCAGUAACAC
rnacentral:rRNA from 1 species